AUUGAACGCUGGCGGCAGGCUUAACACAUGCAAGUCGAGCGGAGCGAUGGUGCUUGCACUAUCACUUAGCGGCGGACGGGUGAGUAAUGCUUAGGAAUCUGCCUAUUAGUGGGGGACAACAUAUCGAAAGGGAUGCUAAUACCGCAUACGUCCUACGGGAGAGAGCAGGUGAUCACUUGUGACCUUGCGCUAAUAGAUGAGCUUAAGUCGGAUUAGCUAGUUGGGGGGGUAAAGGCCUACCAAGGCGACGAUCUGUAGCGGGUCUGAGAGGAUGAUCCGCCACACUGGGACUGAGACACGGCCCAGACUCCUACGGGAGGCAGCAGUGGGGAAUAUUGGCCAAUGGGGGGAACCCUGAUCCAGCCACGCCGCGUGUGUGAAGAAGGCCUUAUGGUUGUAAAGCACUGUAAGCGAGGAGGAGGCUCUUUUGGUUAAUACCCAAGAUGAGUGGACGUUACUCGCAGAAUAAGCACCGGCUAACUCUGUGCCAGCAGCCGCCGUAA
rnacentral:rRNA from 1 species